UAAAACCCAAAGCUUUUAUUAAUAAGAUAUUUCAACUAAAUAUUAGAUGAAAUAACUACUACAUAAUACGUUGUUAUAUCGAUAUUCAAUAGUAAAAAAAUCUAAUCGUUCUUGUCGGAAAUAUAUCUACAUAAUCAGAGGUCCAUAAACUAUUUUAGUAGAUGAAAUGAUUAUAAAUUGUAACCAUUUCAAUUAGCUAAAUUAACUACUACAUUUAACAAACGUAUUAAGUAUUUAAAGUAAACAAUCUAUAAAAUUAUAUUAGUUAAAAUAACUGCAACGGUAGGCGAAACUACCACAAUUUGGCGGCGCAUUGUAGUUUAUAUGUGACGUCAUCAACAUCUCCGCUUCGGGCUUCAGUUUCAUUCGUAUAGAAACUAUGAUCGUGUUAAUAAGUGUUCUCGUGUUUCCGAGUUGGUACAGUACUAAUAAUGUUCCAAGACGCCAUAGUAGUAGACGAGGCCAACGUGGUUGCAAAUUUAUUGGAGAGUUGGGGUGUUUCACAACUAAUUAACGAUUUUGAAGGGAUAUCUGACACCACUACCAUCCACCGAAAGUGCAUGUACAACACCCUCUAGUUUAAGCAGUUGGUUAUAUGAAAACAGUACUAUUGAGGUUGAUAAAGAAGGUGAGGAAAAUAAGGAAAAUGAACACAACAUAUUCUCACUGGGUUUAGAAAAAUUACUGCAGUCGACAAUAACUGGAAAAAUAAUACUUCAAGAUAGUGGUGCCCAAAAGUUUUUAAGUGUAAAGAAUAGACAUGCACUCACUACAAUCAUAGCCCAGUACUUACUAGACCAUGACGUAACAGUGGGAAAAGCCGUCUACCAGGAUAUACUCAAAAAAAUUUAAAAAAAUUUUCUUAGAGAGGAUGAGGUAACAUAUAUUGGUGAAAAAUUCAAAAGAGGAAAACUAGUAGAAAAGUAUUAUAAUUUGUCAAAAAAAUAUCGAAACGUUGGUAUCAUUAAAAGUAAAUACAAACGAAAACGUUCUACGGACAGUGAGUCAACAAGUAAUUCAAUUAAUGAAGAAAGUGAAGACAUUUUAGAAAAAGUAAGCGGUGAUAAGGAAUGGUUACGAUAUAAUCAGUCUCCUAUAGACAUUGUUGAGAAAAAGUAGAAAAAUACUUUUGGCAUUAGAAGAAAAGACAUUUUAAAUGGAUGUGGACGU